rnacentral:rRNA from 1 species
AUACGGAGGGUCCGAGCGUUAAUUGGAAUUACUGGGCGUAAAGCGCGCGUAGGCGGCUAUAUAAGUCAGAUGUGAAAUCCCUGGGCUCAACCUAGGAACUGCAUUUGAAACUGUAUGGCUAGAGUAUGGUAGAGGUGAGUGGAAUUUCAGGUGUAGCGGUGAAAUGCGUAGAGAUCUGAAGGAACAUCAGUGGCGAAGGCGACUCACUGGGCCAUUACUGACGCUGAGGUGCGAAAGCGUGGGUAGCAAACAGGAUUAGAUACCCUAGUAGUCC